UACGUAGGGUGCGAGCGUUGUCCGGAAUUAUUGGGCGUAAAGAGCUCGUAGGCGGUGUGUCGCGUCGGCCGUGAAAACCUGGGGCUCAACUCUGGGCGUGCGGUCGAUACGGGCAUCACUUGAGUUCGGCAGGGGAGACUGGAAUUCCUGGUGUAGAGGUGAAAUUCGUAGAUAUCAAGCGGAACACCGGGUGGCGAAGGGCGGCCUUC
rnacentral:rRNA from 1 species